CCUACGGGAGGCUGCAGUGGGGAAUAUUGGGCAAUGGGCGCAAGCCUGACCCAGCAACGCCGCGUGAAGGAAGAAGGCGUUCGGGUUGUAAACUUCUUUUAUCAGGGACGAAGCAAGUGACGGUACCUGAUGAAUAAGCCACGGCUAACUACGUGCCAGCAGCCGCGGUAAUACGGAGGUGGCAAGCGUUAUCCGGAUUUAAUGGGUGUAAAGGGUGUGUAGGCGGGAGUGCAAGUCAGAUGUGAAAACUAUGGGCUCAACCCAUAGCCUGCAUUUGAAACUGUACUUCUUGAGUGCUGGAGAGGCAAUCGGAAUUCCGAGUGUAGCGGUGAAAUGCGUAGAUAUACGGAGGAACACCAGUGGCGAAGGCGGAUUGCUGGACAGUAACUGACGCUGAGGCGCGAAAGCGUGGGGAGCGAACAGGAUUAGAUACCCUUGUAGUC
rnacentral:rRNA from 1 species